UAAUUGAAGAGUUUGAUCAUGGCUCAGAUUGAACGCUGGCGGCAGGCCUAACACAUGCAAGUCGGGCGGUAACAGGGAGAAGCUUGCUUCUCCGCUGACGAGCGGCGGACGGGUGAGUAAUGUAUGGGGAUCUGCCUGAUGGCGGGGGAUAACUACUGGAAACGGUAGCUAAUACCGCAUAAUGUCUUCGGACCAAAG
rnacentral:rRNA from 1 species